rnacentral:rRNA from 1 species
CUGGCACCUGGGAAGUACGGUCGCAAGCUGAAACUUAAAGGAAUGGGGGGGAUACCACAACCGGUGGAGCCUGCGGUUUAAUUGGAUACAACGCCGGGAAUCUUACCGGAGGGGACAGCAGUAUGAAGGCCAGGCUAAAGACCUUGCCAGAUCAGCUGAGAGGAGGUGCAUGGCCGUCGCCAGUUCGUACCGUGAGGCAUCCUGUUUAGUCAGGCAACGAUCGAGACCCGCAGUCUUAUUUGCCAGCAUGCCCUUUGGGGUGUAUGGGUACAAUAAGACGACCGCCAGCGCUAAGCUGGAGGAAGGAGCGGGCUACGGUAGGUCAGCAUGCCCCGAAUCCUCCGGGAUACACGCGGGCUACAAUGGUCAGGACAAAAGGUACCGACCUCGAAAGAGUGAGGUAAUCCACAAACCUGAUCUCAGUCCGGAUCGAAGGCUGCAACUCGCCUUCGUGAAGAUGGAAUCGGUAGUAAUCGUGACUCAAAAUGUCACGGUGAAUAUGUCCCUGCGUCCUUGCACUCAC